rnacentral:tRNA from 1 species
GCCCGUUUGGCUAAGUGGUAUAGCGUCUCACUAGUAUACUACUUAUCGGUUCCAAGCUAUGAGAAGAUCACUGGUUCGAUUCCAGUAAUGGGCA